UACGUAGGUGGCAAGCGUUACUCGGAAUCACUGGGCGUAAAGCGCAGGUAGGCGGUUUGGUAAGUCUGUUGUGAAAGCUCCCGGCUUAACUGGGAGAGGUCAACGGAAACUGCCAGGCUAGAGUGUGGUAGAGGUAGCUGGAAUUCCCGGUGUAGCGGUGAAAUGCGUAGAUAUCAGGAGGAACACCGGUGGCGAAGGCGGGUCUCUGGGCAGUAACUGACGCUGAGGAGCGAAAGCGUGGGGAGCGAACAGG
rnacentral:rRNA from 1 species